rnacentral:tRNA from 1 species
UGUCCUGUAGCUCAGUGGUAGUAGCGAUCGCCUGUUAAGCGAAAUGUCGUAGGUUCAAUCCCUACCAGGACAG